ACCGGCGGCUCGAGUGGUGGCCACUAUUACUGGGCUUAAAGCGUUCGUAGCUGGCUUGUUAAGUCUCUGGGGAAACCUUCCGGCUCAACCGGAAGGCGUCUCAGGGAUACUGGCAGGCUAGGGACCGGAAGAGGUGAGAGGUACUCCAGGGGUGGGACUGAAAUGCUGUAAUCCGAGAGGGACAACCGGAGGCGAAGGAGUCUCACCAGAACAGCUCCGACGGUGAGGAACGAAAGCUAGUGGAGCAAGCAG
rnacentral:rRNA from 1 species